rnacentral:rRNA from 1 species
GACGAACGCUGGCGGCGUGCCUAAUAUAUGCAAGUAGAACGCUGAAGGAGGAGCUUGCUUCUCUGGAUGAGUUGCGAACGGGUGAGUAACGCGUAGGUAACCUGCCUGGUAGCGGGGGAUAACUAUUGGAAACGAUAGCUAAUACCGCAUAAUAGUAGAUGUUGCAUGACAUUUGCUUAAAAGGUGCAAUUGCAUCACUACCAGAUGGACCUGCGUUGUAUUAGCUAGUUGGUGGGGUAACGGCUCACCAAGGCGACGAUACAUAGCCGACCUGAGAGGGUGAUCGGCCACACUGGGACUGAGACACGGCCCAGACUCCUACGGGAGGCAGCAGUAGGGAAUCUUCGGCAAUGGACGGAAGUCUGACCGAGCAACGCCGCGUGAGUGAAGAAGGUUUUCGGAUCGUAAAGCUCUGUUGUAAGAGAAGAACGAGUGUGAGAGUGGAAAGUUCACACUGUGACGGUAUCUUACCAGAAAGGGACGGCUAACUACGUG